rnacentral:rRNA from 1 species
UCCGUAGGCGGGCGUCUAAGUCAGUGGUGAAAUCCCGCAGCUCAACUGUGGAAUUGCCAUUGAUACUGGUCGCCUUGAAUUAGUGUGAAGUGGCUAGAAUAUGUAGUGUAGCGGUGAAAUGCUUAGAUAUUACAUAGAAUACCGAUUGCGAAGGCAGGUCACUAACACUAUAUUGACGCUGAUGGACGAAAGCGUGGGGAGCGAACAGGAUUAGAUACCCUGGUAGUCC